UACAGAGGCCACGAGCGUUAGGCGGAAUCACUGGGCUUAAAGCGUGUGUAGGUGGAUGGGUAAGUACCUUGUGAAAUCCCACGGCUCAACCGUGGAACUGCUUGGUAUACUGCCUGUCUUGAGGCACUCAGGGGCGAGCGGAACAAAUGGUGGAGCGGUGAAAUGCGUAGAUAUCAUUUGGAACGCCAAUGGUGAAGACAGCUCGCUGGGGGUGUACUGACACUGAGACACGAAAGCCAGGGGAGCAAACGGG
rnacentral:rRNA from 1 species